rnacentral:rRNA from 1 species
AGGUAAGUUGCGUGAAGGUAGAGCACUGAAUAUGUGAUGGCCCCAUCUCGGGGUACUGAGCAUAAUCAAACUGCGAAUGUCACGCCAACAUGCUCGGCAGUCAGACAGCGGGUGAUAAGGUCCGUUGUCAAGAGGGAAACAGCCCAGACCAUCAGCUAAGGUCCCAAAAUGUAUGCUAAGUGGAAAAGGAUGUGGAGAUGUACAGACAACUAGGAGGUUGGCUCAGAAGCAGCCAUCCUUUAAAGAGUGCGUAACAGCUCACUAGUCGAAUGACUCUGCGCCGAUAAUUUACCGGGGCUAAGCAUACUACCGAAGCUAUGGAUCCCAAGGGAUGGUAGGGGAGCGUUCCAUGAACGGAGAAGUACGACCGAAAGGACGUGUGGAGAUCAUGGAAGAGAGAAUGCCGGUGUGAGUAGCGGAACGUGGGUGAGAAUCCCACGCACCGAAAACCCAAGGUUUCCAGAGGAAGGUUCGUCCGCUCUGGGUAAGUCGGGACCUAAGGCGAGGCCGAAAGGCGUAGUCGAUGGACAACAGGUAGAGAUUCCUGUACCCGUAUAUAUGUGAAGGAAUGACGGAGAGAGGAAGCUGCAGCCAGCGGCUGGAAGAGCUGGUGCAAGCGAGAUAUCGGGAUGGCAGGCAAAUCCACCAUCCGAAACGAGAAGGCGUGAAGCGUACGGAAAGCUACGGCGAGUACGGAAGGCAGUGGAGGAACUUCCAAGAAAAGUUUCUAACGUUAAGUAUAUAUGGCCCGUACCGAAAAUGGACACACAUGGGUGAGGAGAGAAUCCUAAGGUGAGCGAGAGAACUAUAGCUAAGGAACUCUGCAAAAUGACCCCGUAACUUAGGGAGAAGGAGUGCUCAUAGAGAUAUGAGCCGCAGUGAAACGGCCCAAGCGACUGUUUACCAAAAACACAGCUCUCUGCUAAGCCGCAAGGCGAAGUAUAGGGGGUGACGCCUGCCCGGUGCUGGAAGGUUAAGGGGAGGGGUUAACGCAAGUGAAGCCCUGAACUGAAGCCCCAGUAAACGGCGGCCGUAACUAUAACGGUCCUAAGGUAGCGAAAUUCCUUGUCAGGUAAGUUCUGACCCGCACGAAAGGCGUAAUGAUUUGGGCGCUGUCUCAGCUGUAGACUCGGUGAAGUCUUAGUACCUGUGAAGAUGCAGGUUACCCGCGACUAGACGGAAAGACCCCAUGGAGCUUCACUGCAGGUUGAUAUUGGGAUUUGAUGCAGCAUGUACAGGAUAGGUAGGAGGCAAAGAGAUGGAUACGCCAGUAUUCAAGGAGCCGCUGUUGGGAUACUACCCCUGUUGUAUUGGAUUUCUAACCGGACGACGUAGAGCCGUUGACGGGACAGUGUCAGUCGGGCAGUUUGACUGGGGCGGUCGCCUCCCAAAGAG